AUUGAACGCUGGCGGCAGGCCUAACACAUGCAAGUCGAACGAGCGGCGGACGGGUGAGCAACGUCUGGGAAACUGCCCGAUGGAGGGAGAUAACUACUGGAAACGGUAGCUAAUACCGCACACCAUCGUAAGUGGCCAGCUGGGGUUAGCUAGCAGGUGGGGUAACGGCUGACCUAGGCGACGAUCCCUAGCUGGUCUGUGGGGAUGACGCGCCAGCCUGGAGCUGAGACCCGGUCCGGACUCCUACGGUAGACAGCGGUGGGAAAUAUUGGACAGUGGGCGCAAGCCUGAUGCGGCCAUGCCGCGUGUAUGAAGAGGGCCUUCGGGUUGAAAAGUAGUUUAAGCGGGGAGGCGUUACUCGCAGUAGAAGCACCGGCUAACGCCGUGCCAGCAGCCGCGGUAAUUC
rnacentral:rRNA from 1 species